CUCCAGAGGAGUUGUAGUUACAGGUAUCUGUCUCUCCUCUGUUGUCCAGGCCCUUGUCCUGCAGUCUCCCAACCAGAUCCUGAGGGCAGCCUGUGGUUCACUCAAGGUUUUCAGGAACAUCAAAGCCCAGCUCCACGAUCAUCUGCAGCACACGGGAGAGGCUGUAGAGCGGCACUCCUCACAAGCUAAGUACAUGAGUCUUAGGAAAGCUGAGGAUGGAAGUUCACUGCCAUGUAGACCCCGGGAAGAGGGGAAGAAGAAGAGCAGCAAGAGGUUAGAGAGGUCUGUCUGCGGAAGAGGCCAGGCUCAGCCCUGACUGGGGCCUCAGUCACCUGACAGGGGAAUGGAUUUGAAAAGCCAAGAGAGGAGCGGGGUACUGUGGCUCAAGCCUGCAAUCCCAGCACUUUGG
rnacentral:lncRNA from 13 species